UAUGGCGGCAGGGAAUGGAAAACUCAGUGCAAACAGAGAGAAGUCUGCAGUGGUUCUAAGAGCUGCAUCCCAUCCACUUUGUCCAGAGGAAACCAUGGGAAAGCCAGGAGCCCAGGCAACGUCUUACCUUUCACUGGCCCACCUGGGCCAGGUGCCCAUUCUUGAAUCAGUCAAGGGGCCCAGUGCAGGGAGAAAGUCACUGCAUCUUCUUUGGCAAAAGAGAAACAAUCAUAAUCCUCUUCUUCCAACCUUGCCACAUUGUCACAAGGAUGGAAACAGGUCACCAGAGGCAAA